rnacentral:piRNA from 1 species
UGGGAAGCAAUAAUGUACAUGAGGUUGGC